AGCAGCAGAGCGAGUACAGCCAGGAAGCCACCAGGACGACUUAGCACACGGGGUGGAGCCUCUGUCGCCAGGGAGCCAAGGAAGGGUGGACGUCGGCCAGGGAGUGGAGGCGGCGGCUUCUUCCAUCGGCAACUGGAUUAGGGGCACCUGGAGGGACGCCUCAGAGGUGAGUCGAGGACCUCGGCGACCGCGCCCAAGACACUUUCCGUGACAUUGGCGACUCCAUAUCAGACGCAGUGGGCACGGCGGUGGAUACGGUGCAUGAAACAGCGGCGGCACACAGCUGGAGCAUUUACCGAGU
rnacentral:lncRNA from 1 species